UGGCUCAGUGGUAGAGCGCUUGCCUCGCAUGCAUGAGGUCCUGGGUUCAAUUCCUCAG
rnacentral:tRNA from 1 species